rnacentral:rRNA from 1 species
AUUGAACGCUGGCGGCAUGCCUUACACAUGCAAGUCGAACGGCAGCGGGCCUUCGGGUGCCGGCGAGUGGCGAACGGUGAGUAAUGCAUCGGAACGUGCCAUUGAGUGGGGGAUAACGUAGCGAAAGUUACGCUAAUACCGCAUAUUCUGUGAGCAGGAAAGCAGGGGACCGCAAAGGCCUUGCGCUCUUUGAGCGGCCGAUGUCAGAUUAGCUAGUUGGUGAGGUAAAGGCUUACCAAGGCGACGAUCUGUAGCGGGUCUGAGAGGAUGAUCCGCCACACUGGAACUGAGACACGGUCCAGACUCCUACGGGAGGCAGCAGUGGGGAAUUUGGACAAUGGGCGCAAGCCUGAUCCAGCCAUGCCGCGUGAGUGAAGAAGGCC